CCUACGGGAGGCAGCAGUGAGGAAUAUUGGUCAAUGGCCGGAAGGCUGAACCAGCCAUGCCGCGUGAAGGUCAGUGCCCUAUGGGCGUUAAACUUCUUUUGUGCGGGAGCAAUAAUGGUCACGUGUGGCCAGACGAGAGUACCGUACGAAUAAGCAUCUGCUAACUCCGUGCCAGCAGCCGCGGUAAUACGGGGGAUGCAAGCGUUAUCCGGGUUUAUUGGGUUUAAAGGGUGCGUAGGGUGUGAGGUAAGUCAGCGGUGAAAUGCCCCCGCUCAACGGGGUGAAGUGCCAUUGAUACUGCCUGGCUGGAAUGCGGAUGCCGUGGGAGGAAUGUGUGGUGUAGCGGUGAAAUGCAUAGAUAUCACACAGAACACCGAUUGCGAAGGCAUCUCACGAAUCCGCGAUUGACGCUGAUGCACGAAAGCGUGGGUAUCAAACAGGAUUAGAUACCCUGGUAGUC
rnacentral:rRNA from 1 species